rnacentral:rRNA from 1 species
CAAUAGCGUAUAUUGAAGUUGUUGCGGUUAAAAAGCUCGUCGUUGGAUUUCUGUUGAGGUUGAACAGUGCCGCCCUAUGGGUGCGCAACUGGCUCGGCUUCGGCAUCUUCUUGGAGAGCGCAUCUGCACUUAACUGUGUGGAUCGUACUUCAAGUCAGUUACUUUGAGGAAUUGUGAGUGUUUCAAGCAGGCUUACGCCGUUGAAUCCGUUAGCAUGGAAUAAUAGGAUAGGACCUCGGUUCUAUUUUGUUGGUUUUGAGAGCUGGGGCAGCGAUUGAUAGGGACGGAUGGGGGCGUCCGAACUUUACUGUCAGAGGUGAAAUUCUUAGAUCGGUCAAAGGCGAACUACUGCGAACGCAUUCGCCAAGAAUGUUUUCUUUAA